rnacentral:rRNA from 1 species
AUGGCGGCGGAGGUCGAGGGCACCCAGAAGCGCGGGGCGGCGGCCUUCCUGGAAGACACCUUCAAGGUGCUGCAAGCGAAGCGGGGCCGAUGCUCGCCGUUCGCCGCCGCGGCCGCGGUCGCCGACCUCGGCAUCAACAUGGAGUUCGACCCCAUCGAGGCACCCCAGUCCGUCUUCCCCGGCACCGACCCAUAG